UAAUUAGCUAAUUAGGCGGCAUUUGCAAAUUAAUUUAGGCUUCUGACUUCUUGGUCUCCUAAACAUCACGUCUAAAAUACCAAGGAAGACGAGGCAUCUAAGCAUUGAAUUGGGGAAGAUGACUCAAAUAAGUUCUCUUUACUAUCAACUUUUAUACUUACGGAAGCUAUCGGAAAUCAGGCGGUUCUUUCCUUCCUUUUCAAAAAUCUUAUUGCGAAUUUGUAAUUGAAUCAGUCAUUUGUCUCAUAUUCUCUUGAAAAUCUGAUAGUUUUCUCCUAAAGUCAUCGACAUUUCUCGCAUAAAGUGAAUGGUAAAGUUUCAAAGUUUUGAACUGCCGAAGUUUUCUCCAAAAGCCUAUGGACAUGGAGCAUUUUGCAUUUGUUCAACAAAACAAGGAGCAAAACUUCUUAUUUCUAGAUUAGAUCCAACCUUUUCAGAUAUGAACAAUUUUUUUUCCAGUGUGCGGCGAAUAGCAACCAAAAGCCAACAGUUUGAUUAAAGAGCGAGAAAGAAAACACAAGUUUUGAACAAAAUUAUUUCAAGCAUUAUAGAUUUUUUUUGUGAAGUUCUAUGUAUAAGAUUAAAAAAUGUAUUUUAUUAAUUUCUUUUCAACUGUUUUCUUAGUUUUCA